rnacentral:lncRNA from 1 species
UCUCCUGUUCCGCCGCGCUGUGUGCCAGUGGCAGACACGCCUCCACGAUGAGCGCCGUCUCAAUGCAGUGCGUCACGUAGGGCUCCCCCGUCUUACGGCGCUGGUGGGCAUGGGCCUCCGCUGCAAAUGCCACCGCGGCCAGCACGGAGGGCAGCUGGAAGAAGCGGCUGCUGGUCACAUCGACCCCGUGCAGAUAGGUGCGGGACUGCACUUGCUGAGCGCGACGGUCAAAGUUAAAAAACUCGGCUAGCACCGCCAUCAGAUUGUACGACAGUGCACCCAGCGCCACGGACAGGGCGCAGAGAGUCGUGAACCAUAGGCUGGCGCCGUGGUAGGCACCUGGGGUGGGUUUUAGGUUUGUUGGGACGCCCGGGGGAAAGGUAAAAGGGUGUGGGGCAGCGGGGGGGGGGGGAAAGUCGGGGAGAGUCGAGGAGCUGUUGUGAGUGGGAUGACAUGCCCCGGACAGGCCAAGUGAGGUGUCGUGUGGUACGGAGAAGAGAGGUGAGAUAUGGCGAGCUUUAAGGCCAGUGCCUCAUGAGGAGGAUGAGCUGGAGGGUGGCUUCCAGAGCCGCGCCGUGUGCCUGACCCCAGCGCGACACCUGUGUCGAAACACGGGCGGCCCAGCCGGGCAAACGAGGCACCCGAGCGAGUCCAACGGCAUCUGCGCUACACUGUAAUGCAAAGGAAAGCCGCAACGGUGGGCCAACGGCUCGGGAAAUGGUGAAUGUUCGCCUGCGCGACUUGGUGGCCCUUUUGCAACUUGCCCGAGGUAAGGUUGUGACUCCAUCCAAUGACAAGUGGCACUCCAGAAGCCAAGGAAAGGUGGGCGUGAGGUGCCGGUCGACUGGUGGGCUGUCGUCGCGGGAGCGGCACCACUCCGCGCAGCGAAGAGUGCUGAGGGCACCGAGACAACCGACUCGCCCUUGUGGUGCCUACUGACUUCUUGGGUUCAAGCUGAUGCACCAUUGAUAGCCGCGAACUGAUGUGGCUAUAAAACCUACUCACUACUAGGGCUGGAGAAAGGCAAGGCCUAGCAUUUUCAAAGCUGCUCACAUCACGGCAUACAUGUAUUAUGAUCUUUCAUUGUGUGUCUCACUUAGACUUGCGCUAUCGCCUGGGCGACACGCGUAGACGCGCUGGUGACGUGCGUUGCGUUCUAACGACCCCAGCGAAGAUGUCCUGGUAUAGACAGUGAAAACAAACAAACGUCUAUGGCCUACAAAUGAUAAGUGCGCGUAGGCGCGCGAGUAUAUAUUCUUUAACCCUCGUCUCAAGGCAAAAGGUAAGCCUCCUUAGAUAUGCCAGGCCACAUCUGUCGAUAUACAGGUAAUGGUAUGCUUAAUGGACGCUUGGUGUUCACAUGUGUGGAAGAGGUCGUACGGCACAGACGGACCUGGGACUCCCAGGCUGGGAGGCCAGUCUCCC